rnacentral:lncRNA from 1 species
UCACAAGUGUCAUCACAUGUGGUUCUCAGCAUGGGAAUUAUUGUAGCCUGUCUUUAAAAAAAUCUUCAUUCUCAUUUUCACACAGAAUUGCUGUUUAUCAGCGUCAAAAUGACAGGAAAGAGCACUCAUGUUCUGUGUUGUGAACAAGGGGAGUGUUAGGAAACUGGUCAAAGGAGAUGAGGAGUGAGUACUCAGAGCACAGCAAGAAAAUCUGAGACACAGAUGUCACUCCCUGCUGGGCAGCAGUCUUUUGCACUGAUGGGUGGGUGUUGGGGAAGGGAAGAGGCCUUCAGCCGGACCAGUGCACACUGUGAACAUUCACUGAAACACACCCUGUUGGCACUUAAGAAGCAUUUGCCCCUUUCAAAGACAUUUGGACUCAAGAAGGCAGAGUUGCAGAAAACGUAACGGGCCACACUGCAGGGGCAGGCAGUGGAUUGCAAGUCUCAAGCCCAGGGUUCUCCCCUCCUUGCCUGGGUUGUGUGAAAAAGUCAUUUCCUAACUCCUAUCCGAUAUCCUCAUGAGUUCUCGGUUUUGUCCCAACUCUAAAACUGAAUGGUCCAGCGAGCAUUUCUAUGAAAUGCCUCCACAGUGGCCACUGGGAGGGGAGUGACCUCCACACAGUGACUGCCUGUCUGGAUGCUCCCAGGCCUUUUGUCCUCCGAGACAGAGCUGCCUCCUUACAUGCAGCCCUCUUCUGCUGUGCAACUCUACCUCGAUCUUAGCUGAGAAGAUCAGCGGAGAGCAAUUCAAGCAAAAUCAUGGUAAACUUACCAAAACCAAACCAAACAAACAGUAAAUGCUUUGGAGAUCUUUCUGAGGACGCGAUCUUUUAUCACGGGGCAAAAACUUAAAUGAUUUUCAAUCAGUAACUUCAUCUAAGAGGGAUGUUGAGGCAAAAUAUCACACUCAGGCACUGAAGAAGGGCAGAAUUCUUGUUUGCUUCCUCCCUUGUCAAGUUAGUCAGUCAAUGCUUUCUCAAGAUGCUCACACAUGGCUUUGAUACAGGAUUUGAAUGAGUCUUUUUCUGAGCCACUGAUACAAAAAGUAUAUUGUGGAAGUGUCUUGUUUCAAUUCUGCAAUCGCUUCUGUAUGUGUUUGAAGUCCUAGACCCCAGGAGGAGAGACAAUCAAAUUAGCCAAAGGUAAUUUGUGAAGACUGGCCAUAGAAGGUGGUGGCUAAAAGUCCUCUGGCCCCUGCUCUCUGAGCAUGCCCACAGAAAGUCCUGGGCCACACUGACUGCUGAGAAACAUCAUCUCAGGGCUUGGAUCCCCUGUUCAGAGGACAGAUGCUCUUCCACCCAAUCACUGAACAGUAGAGGAAUGGCGGCUCCAUGCUGUGUCUGGCAGAGCUCUCAGUCUCUGCACUUGAGACCCUAGGCCGUCAUAGACGUGAAGGCUCUUCAGUGUCAUCACGUGGAGACAGACGGUAGGAAUCCUGCAAAUGAGCAGAAAGGAUCUGAUGAUGAAAGUUUGUUCUGAAGCUACUACAAACUCAAGUCAGUGAGUUGCUUCUGUACUAGCUUUUUUUUUUUUUUUUUUUGAGAUGGAGUCUUGCUCCCACCUUGAAGUGCAGUGGUGUGAUCUCCUCUCACUGCAGCCUCCGCCUCCUGGGUUCAAGCAAUUCUGCCUCAGCCUCCCAAGUAACUGGGACUACAAGUGCGCGCCACCACGCCUGGCUAAUUUUUGUAAUUUUGGUAGAGACGGGAUUGCACCAUAUUGGCCAGGCUGGUCUCGAACCCCCAACCUCAGGUGAUCUACCCGCCUCAGCCUCCAAAAGUGCUGGGAUUACAGGCGUGAGCCACCGCGCCCGGUCAGACUCUCUCGUUUCUAGGAGGGACGGUCUUGGAGGCUCCAAGGAGAAGGCGUCGCCUGGCCCCAGGAAGCGCCCUGGUGCAGCGUCCCUCCAUUUCCCCAUCUCCUGCGGGGCCCUCCCAGGGCGGGCUCCACGCCUGCCCUGCGCGCCUGCGCAGGAGCCUUGAGGCGGGCGGGGUUCCAGCGCGCAGCCGGCCGCCCUCAACCGCUCCCAGCAUCGGUUGCCGGUGGUUCGGGGCAGGGAGACGACGCAGCGCGAGCGGAAAGGGCGGUUACCCAACGGCCUUAGCUCUCAUGGCGUCCUCCGUGGUGUUACCUAAAAAUAAAGUUAUUUGUGAUUAGAAGGUAAUCGCCUCCUGGUCAUGCUUCCGCUGGUCAACAGUGUCUGCGGGGCGACCCCAUCCUUGUGGCCAGAGAGGGCCUGUGGCUGCGCUCAAGGCGGGAGCGGUCCUUAGCGGGGCCCUGCGGGACGCCCAGGCCGCGCUCCUUUCCCUUGCUCGCCUGGCCUUGAAGUGAAGGGGGAGGUUUAACAAUGCAGUGGGAACCCCAAAGUUUGUCUCGGCCGUGCUGCUCACAUUCCAAACAAUGCAAAAGGUUGAGGAAAACCUCAGCAGUUGAAACCGUGAUGCAUUUCAGCAAAGAAGUAGCUCCUGUCCUCGUAAAAUCAGUGAAGUUCUCACGGACGACCUCAUUGAAAGUUUUCAUGGGCUGAGCUGCUGACUUCAGCCUGGGAACUGAGGCCAACAUCGGAGUCUCCUCGGCACACAAGUUUGAAAGAAGUCCUAGUGACUUCAAGCUCAGAACCAUGGACGGCAGGGCUCCCUCUGGAUGUGGAAUUCUCCGUCCCUUUCCAGGGAGGGAACAAAGCCCACAAGCACCGAGACUCCUUCAGGGUGAGCAAAGGCCUGGAAAAACCUGUAUGCAGAUAAAGAAAAGGAAAGAAAGAGAUAAUCAGUGCAUGCAGUUGUCAGCUGGCUGGGACCUGAGGAGAGUCACUUGUGGAGGCAACUGGUCUUUAUCCCCAUUGUCCGGUACAAGGCAGGCAUUAAUCCUGUGAUCCUUAUCUGAAGCUCAGGUUUGAUUUUAUUCUUUUCUUAAGUACCUACUGUUAUCCCCAAGCUUAUAAUAAUAGUUUAAUUGUUACAGCCAGUAUCUCACCUUCAGAAGUAAGAUGCUUAGGAAACCAAGACAAGGAACUGUGUGUUGCAAACAGCAUCACCCUGGAGAAGAGGUGGCAGGAGGUGACCUACAGAAAAUGGAGUAAUAGCCUAGAGCAAGAAACACAGAACAAAAGAGAAAUGAGGGGUUAGGCAACCUCCUGGAGCACCAAUGGGACAAGCACAUAUUCAGGGGCCUCCUAACAGACUCGACUUCCAGCAUCCUCAGAUGGUGCUAGACACGUUACAUAGACGUUCAAGAGUAGAGAACUCAGGGACUUCUGAUUUAUAUCAAGAAAUGCAUACACAGCAGACGUGUGCCUGUGGAGUGGAAUUCUGGAAAAGCUCACAGCCCAGAACAUAAUGCAGACUCCCCCAGCCACAGCACCUUCCAAACCUGAGAAGAGUGCUGAUUCUCCAUCUGAGCACCCAUUCUCCUGCAACAUCAGGGGAGAGGAUUUCACCUAAGGGUCAGACCAGCAUCUCCAAACCCAGCUCCCCACCUUUGCCUGUUGGUGGCACUUGUGGGAGAAGGGGAGAUGGUAUGAAAAGAGCCACAACAGGAGUCACCUGGACAGGGUGGAGCUUGAUGGAAACUGACAUUUGUGCCCAUUGGAGGCAAAUGUAGAAUUUGGUAUCUUCCGUAGCGUCAGGCACAUGAAACUCUCCAGUGCCCAUGACUUUUGACAGUGACUUCAGAGCACAUCUGGGAGACCCAUGUGGCCCAGGCUCCACACAGGCAGGAGCUCAGCUUCACUCACAGCAGGAUUCCUAGUGCCAAGAACACCAUAGGUGCAUAGCAGGUGAUCAAAAUAAUUGUAUGUGGCUGAAUCAGUGAGAGGUAAGAGAGAGGACUUGAUCCUAGCUGCAAACUAAGAGACCUCAUUAAAACCUAACAUGUGGCUGGGUGUGGUGGCUCACGCCUGUAAGCCCAGCACUUUGGGAGGCCGAGGGGUGGAUCACCUGAGGUCAGGAGUUCAAGACAAGCCUGGCCAACGUGGUGAAAACCCAUCUCUACUAAAUAUACAAAAAAUUGGCUGGGCAUGGUGGCAGGUGCCUGUAAUCCCAGCUACUUGGGAGGCUGAGGCAGGAGAAUCACUUGAACCCAGGAGGCGGAGGUUGCAGUGAGCCGAGAUUGCACCACUAUACUCCAGCCUGGCAAUAAGAGCAAAAGUCCGUCUCAAAACAAAAAACGAAAAAACAAAAAACACCUAACAUGUGAGGCCCAGCAUGGUGGCUCAGACCUGUAAUCCCAGGAUUCUGGGAGGCUGAGGCUGGAAGAUUGCUUGAGCCCAGGAGUUCAAGACCAACCUGGGCAACAUAGCGAGACCCUGUCUCUGGGAAAAAAAAAAUUACCUGGGCAUAGUUACAGUCCUAGCUACUCGGGAGGCUGAGGCAGGAGGAUUGCUGGAGCCCAGGAGUUUGAGGUUACAGUGAGCUAUGAUUGCACCACUGUAUUCCAGCCUGGGCAAUGGAGCGACACCCUGUCUGUCUUCAAAAACUAUAUAUAUAUGGUGUAUGUGUGUGUAUGUAUGUGUAUGAUAUCAGAAAAAAAUAACCUAUUCAUGGUGGGGGAAAAAAGAGCCUGACUUUUGAGGUGUAUAAGCGUGGAGUCGGGUUCAAAUCAGGCUCUGAUCUUUCUGGCUCUGUGAUAUGGGGCAGGGCAUAUUACCAAGCUCAGCCUCAGCAUCUCUACCUGUGAAAUGGGCUUGAUUCAGUACACCACACAGGGCUGCUGUAGUAUGUAUGAAUUAAUGUUUGUGAAAUAUUUAGCAUGGUGCCUGACACAUGGUACUCAGUAAGAAACAACUAUUGCUAUUAAGUGCUUUGCACUUUGGUUUUCACAGAGCUAACAAUUUUUACUGUCUAGCUUUGUGUCUUUGAAAGAUUUUUGAGCUCUGAGAAUGACCUUUUAAGACCUCAGCACUUCUAGAAGAGGUCACACUUUGAGCUUCAAUAGCUAGCAUUUUUGUCAAUUAGUUAACAGUGUGCUGAAAGCAAGUCCCUGUAGAGAGUGUUCACGGGCAUGAGCCACAGGGAAUACAAUGUGAGCCCCACCGUUGUGCAGCUUUGUGACUUCCUGGAGAGCCUACAUGCAAACAGAAAAGUCCCAGGAUAAAGAAAUGUGGAUAUUCCACACAUUUUAAAAAGACCUGGAGGGAUGAAGAGGACAAGCUGUCCCAGUAGGCCCCGGACUGCCCUGGUUUUAACACUAAAUGUCCGACAUCCUGAUAACCCUUACUCCCAGGCAAAUCAGGCCAGUUGGUCAUCUAAUUGGAGGUUAUCAAAGGAGGUGGGUUUUAGCAUCCUCUUUCCUUUCCUGUUACAUUGAGACCAUGGGGUGCUAUUGAAUAAACUUGAUUCGGUUUCUUCAAAAAAAGCCAGAAAUUGAUCUAAUAGGUUUUGCUCAUAUUUGGUAAUUGAAUUGGACUGUAUACAGUCUGCACGUUUACCUUAUUUUCCAUUAUAUAAUGGUACCAAAUAUCACAAUGAUUUUCAAAAAUUAAUGCUUUUAGUGAUGGAUUACUAGGUGUUGAAAUGCUUUAUAAUAUACUUAUGAAAACAUUUAUACAAAUAAUUUCAUCCUCCACAUGACAUUUAGAAAAGUUUAGUCUGGCUGGGUACAGUGGCUCACUCCUGUAAUCCCAGCACUUUGGGAGGCCAAGGCAGGUGGAUCACCUUAGGUUAGGAGUUCGAGACCAGCCUGGCCAACAUGGUGAAACCCCGUCUCUACUAAAAAUACAAAAAAUAGCCCAGUGUGGUGGCGCACACAUGUAGUCCUAGCUACUUGGUAGGCUGAGGCAGCAGAAUCACUUGAAUCUGGGAGGCAGAGGUUGCAGUGACCCAAGAUCACGCCACUGCAUUCCAGCCCAGGAGACAGGGUGAGACUCUGUUUCAAAAAGAAAGAAAAGAGAAGAGAAAAGAUGAAAAGGAAAUGUUUAGUUUGAAAUUCCGUUACCGAAAGUUCUCGGGGGUUGGGGGAGGUGGGAGGCAAUAUCUUUUUGCUAUUAUAUUUCUUAUAGUGCAGUGUCAGUGAAACUAUGUCAUCCUUUGUAAAAUCAAUAAAAUCCCUGUCAAUUUAUCUGGCCAUUCGAUACUUUAUCAUCUAUAAUUUUUCAAGACAUCUAUUUGGUUGAAGUGUCUUCAUCAAUUGAUGGACUGUACAUCAGUCUGGUUUGGCAGUUUACAUUGUAUUUUCCUCUGAGUUUAUCUUCUCUGUUUCAUGGACUUCACUAGGGUCAGUGGUUCUUAAGUUGGAUGAUAAGAAACCCCAAUCUUCCAUACAGGGUACAGUUUGGCCAUUGGUUUUAACUCAGGUCAUGGCAUAGCAGUUGCAUUUCUAUGGAAGCAAAGCUAACCUUGGAAAUGGACUCUAAUCAAAGACUCACUAACAUCAAACAAGUCAUAACCACAUUAAGUAAUGUCUUAAAGGCAAAAAUCAAUAGUAAUUCACUUUGAGCAUUUAAAGAGUCAGGCUCUCAGUCACUGUCUUUGAGAUUAUGAGAGCAUAGUAGAAAACAGCUUGUCCAACUGCCUUAUUUAAUA